rnacentral:tRNA from 1 species
ACUAUUUUGGCAGAAAAUUGUUAUGGGUUUAGAACCCGUUAAUGUAAGUAUUUACCUUACAAAUAGUA